AAGCAUGUGAUUUGGUGUACACGUGCAUAUAUUAUAUGGUAUAUGGCAAUAGUUUACCUCAUUUCGUUUCAUACGCUCAAAUAAUACCAUACUAACACUCGCACACACCUUCCUUCUUCCACUUCCUCUUCUCUCUCUCUCUCUCCCUCUGCACACCUUUCAGAGUGAUCAAAGAAAUACAGUAAUGGAAUGGAGGAACUGAUUCUCUAAUCUCCAUCUUCUCGUUUUUUAAGAAAAACAAUAAACAAAAAAAAUAAAAAAAAAACAAAAGAAAAAGAGGAGAAAGUCUCUUUCUUUCUCUAUCUGUUCCUCCUCCCUCCCCUGUUGUUUAUUUGUUUUUAUUUUAAUUUCAUGUACAUCAAAAAUAAAAAUAAAAUGGUGUUUGCAAAAGAGAAGGACAAUUAUAUGUUGUGCUGUAAAACAUUCUUAUUCUACCUCUGCACUUGUUAAGGAGGUUACCCUUCUUCUUAUUCUGCUUCCUUUGACCCUGCUGCCAUUUGUGUUGUGUUCAAUGGGUGAAAUAUCUUCACCAACUGUUCCCUUUGACAGAGCAGUUCAACAGGCAAUUGUGUCAAUCAAGAAGGGUGCAUAUCUUUUGAAAUGUGGACGAAGAGGAAAGCCCAAGUUUUGUCCUUUCCGGCUUUCGACGGAUGAGAAAUUUUUAAUAUGGUAUUCAGGACAAGAGGAAAGACAAUUGAGACUGAGCUCUGUUGUGAAGGUUAUCCCUGGACAGAAGACUGUUAGUUUCCAGCGACAGCUUCAACCAGAAAAGGAAUCUCAUUCUUUUUCCCUUAUCUAUGCAAAUGGUGAACGCUCACUUGAUCUGAUUUGCAAGGACAAAGGGCAAGCUGAUGCUUGGGUACUAGGAUUGAGAGUUAUCUCAUCCAGAUGUAACCAUUCUAAACCAUUUAAUAGUUUGAGAAGUCACAGGGGGGCACAGAGUUGUAUCAGCAGUCCAGCUGGUUUUAUUAGAAGAAAGUAUAAUCUUGGACUUUCAGAGGACGACACUGAACUUUCCCAGGUCCAUAACAUCUGUGGAAGUCCUAGUUUGUCACUUUCAGAGCGAUGCUUUUCUGAUGGAUUGUCGAAUUCUUCUGGUAGUUUUUAUUGGUCGGAGGCAGCCCUAUCAACUGCACAGAAUGUUGUGGACAUUUCUAUUCCGAAUUCUCCAUAUAUUGAACCAGAUCAUCACAAAAGGAGAUAUGAAGAGAAUGUGCUCAUUAAGUUGGCUGCCCCUAGCUGUGAAAUGCCACGAAUAGAAAAUAAAAAUAUUUUGCAGGAUGUAAUGAUAUGGGGUGAGAAUGUAGAAGGAAUUUUAGAUGGCACAAGCAAUAAGUCUAGUAAUGAAAAUCUACAUGUGGAUGUGUUAUUGCCCAAGUUAUUUGAGUCCACAUCUACUUUAGAUAUACUAAAUAUGUCUCUUGGAGGAAAACAUGCUGCCUUAGUUACUAAAGAGGGUGAAAUCUUUUGCUGGGGUGAAGCAAAGGGAGGAAGGCUUGGUCACAAAAUUGAUGUGAACGUGAGCUAUCCCAAACAUGUUGACUCCCUUAGUAGUGUCCAGGUGAAAACUGUUGUUUGCAGUGAAUAUCAAACACAUGCUUUGACACAUUCGGGUGAGCUAUAUGUUUGGGGGGACACUGGUUUUGAUUCUUUGGUGGGUGAGGAGAAAAGUAGAAGUCAGUGGUUGCCUCAUAAAAUUUCUGGUCCUUUGGAUGGUAUUACUAUAUCAAAUAUUGCUUGUGGGGAGUGGCAUUCUGCAGUGGUGUCAACUUCUGGGCAGUUAUUUACAUGGGGAGAUGGAACUUUUGGGGUUUUGGGUCAUGGGAAUGUUAAAAGUCUCCCUCAACCAAAAGAAGUUGAAUCUCUAAAGGGUUUGUGGGUAAAAUCUGUUGCAUGUGGAUCAUGGCACACUGCUGCUAUUGUUGAAAUCAUUAAUGAUCAUUUUAAAUUCAGUGCUAUUGGUGGGAAAUUAUUUACAUGGGGUGAUGGAGAUAAACGGAGGCUCGGGCAUGCUGAUGAGGAUAAGAAGCUUUUACCAACAUGUGUUGCACAACUCGUAGACCAUGAUUUUGUUCAAGUUUGUUGUGGAAGAAUGUUGACGGUUGGGCUUACCAGUCAUGGUACGGUAUAUACAAUGGGAAGUGCAAUACAUGGGCAGUUGGGUAAUCCACAGGCCAAAGAUAGAUCAAUCACAAUUGUUGAGGGAAAACUUAAGGAAGAGUUUAUCAAGAAAAUAGCAUCAGGCUCAUAUCAUGUUGCUGCUUUGACGACUACUGGGCGUGUUUAUUCCUGGGGGAAGGGUGCAAAUGGGCAGUUAGGAUUAGGUGAUGGUGAAGAUAGAAACACACCAACAUUAGUGGAGGCUCUGGAAGACAGGCAGAUAGAAAGUAUUAUUUGUGGAUCAAAUUCUACAGCUGCCAUCUGUUUGCACAGAUCAGUUUCAGUUACUGAUCAGUCCGCUUGCAGUGGAUGUAAGGUGCCUUUUGGGUUUACAAAGAAGAAGCAUAACUGUUAUAAUUGUGGUCUUCAUUUCUGCCAUUCUUGUAGUAGUAAGAAGGCUAUAAAUGCAUCUCUGGCGCCUAACAAAAGCAAGGCUUUUCGAGUGUGUGAUCGAUGCUUCACUAAUCUAAGGGGAGUAGGACAUUUGGCUAGACUGUUUAAGCUAGACCAUGAUGGCAUUAAGCAACCAUUGAACGAACGGAAGGGUUUCCUAGAGGAGACUGAAAGUAGGGGAGCUGGAGCUGCAACACCUAAAUAUGGUAAACUGAUGUCUGCCAAUCAUUCUUCUAACUCGGAUAGUCAAUUCAUUAGAAGGAUAUCAGCAAAAAUCCAUGGGGAAGACCAGCUAAAUCUAGAAUCUAAUUCUUCUUUUUUGGGCGGCCAGCCACAUUGGGGGCAAGUCCUGUGUCCACCUCUUUUUGAUGUACAUCAUAGAGAAGUUUCUGUAGGAUUUAACCUGCUGUCCAAAACUCAAUCUUCUCCUGCUGCUGCUUCAGAGUAUCUAGAAUCCAAUAUGUAUAGUACAAGUACUGCAGAUAAUGUCAUAUUUGAGUCUGAUGAGAUACUUAUUGAAGAAGUUCGGCGACUGAGAGCUCAGGUAAGAAGCCUGGAAAAGAAGUGUCAAAUGGGCUGCAAUAAAAUUCAAGAAUCUCAACAAAAGAUUGAGGAAACAUGGUCCUUGGCUAGGGAUGAAGCUGCAAAAUGUAAAGCAGCGAAAGAGGUUAUAAAAGCUUUGGCAUUGAGGCUUCAUAAAAUUUCGGACGACGUCUCUGGUGGGAAAAGAAAAGAUAAUGAUGGAGUUGACAGAAAUCUUCCUCCAAUUACACCUGUGUAUGCAUAUAGUCCUUGUUUAAAGGGUGUGCGUCCUGAGUCAAAUGUUACUGAAUUGCCUUGUGUCGGAGUAGCAAAAGAUAGACACUCAGAUUCUAUAUCUAACUCGCCUAUUCUGUUCUCUGAUACGCUUAAAUUCAUGUAUGGGAGUGAUGCAUGCCGUGAUAGCAAAUCUGAAGAGGAGUCACGAGUUGGACUAAUGGAAUCCCAAACUAAAGAUGUAAAGCUGGAAUGGGUAGAACAAUAUGAACCUGGUGUGUAUAUCACUUUCACUAUUUUGCCAAGUGGGCAGAAGGGAUUGAAACGAGUGCGAUUUAGCCGGAGAAGAUUCACAGAGAAGGAGGCAGAACGAUGGUGGGAGGAAAAUCAAAAGGUUAUGUGCCAGAAUUACAACAUAGAAGGAUAUGUUCACUCAAGCCAAAGUUAAUUGUAGGGGAUAGAUUCACUCACUGGCCCCUUUGUUGUAUGUAAAGGUGUUCUUUUCUCAAGAGAUGCUCCUCCGAGCAGGAAGAAAUCAAGCAGAAAACACCCUGGAGAAAGCAGUGGGGAGCCUUCAAGUAAAGAAGCUCGACUAGAGGACCCUCCAGCUCCCACUCCUUCUAAAUCAACUACGCCUCCUCCUCCUCAUCCUCCUCCUCGCACUACUCCUUCCACCAACUAGGUAGGAAGAUCUCUGGCUACAGAUUUAUUGAGUAAUGUUAUAGCUCAACAAACGACAAACUGCAGAGAUUGUCUAAGCACCGUCGCAGCCAGGAGGCAUUUACCUGUCUUCCUGCGUUGAAACCCGGCCAAGUCCUUGCUCGUGGGUUCAACGAACUGCUCAGUGGUAUCUUAACCAUGAACAACGGCUAGCGUCGAGCCAAGGAGGUCGAUGUGAAACAUGCCGAGGAGAUUAAAGCUUGCGAGGAGAAGGUUAAAGCGGCUGAAGAAAAAGUCUCCAUUUUAACCGAGGAGCUGAAGAGGAGCCAAGAAGAGCUGGCCAAAGCCGUUGCUGCCAAGGAGAAGUUUAAGGAAGCUUCAGAAACUAACUACAAGGAAGCAUCCAAGCUUCAAGAAGACCUAGAGGCUAGCAUGAAGGAGGCCACUGGUCUGGAGGAACGAGUCAAGCUGCUCGAGGAGACGAAUUCCCAAAACUUGGAGAGGUUUCGAGGAGCUACCUUCAACUACUUCUACUUGUUUUGGAAGAGCAAUCCAGAAGUAAACUUCGACUAUCUUCCAGAGCAAGUAAGACAAGCCGAACUUGCCAAGUGUGCUGCUCGCCUAGAGGAGGAAAGGAAUGCCAAGAAUGCCUCAGAUUCUCCUAAAAUCUCUUUGGUGACAGGCAUCGAUGGUGCUGAAGAAGACACCGAAACUUCAGUCGACCAGUAGUCUCAGCAAGACCCUCCUCCAACUGCACAGUAAAAUUUUUAUCUAUGUAAUUAAAACAUACGAACAACAGUUCAUGAUGUUAAGACAAUUUUGUUGCUUAAGACAUCUUUAAUUUCCUUUUAAUAUUUUUAAUUACACCCGAGCAGCAAUUU